rnacentral:rRNA from 1 species
AUGAACGCUAGCUACAGGCUUAACACAUGCAAGUCGAGGGGCAGCAUGGUCUUAGCUUGCUAAGGCCGAUGGCGACCGGCGCACGGGUGAGUAACACGUAUCCAACCUGCCGUCUACUCUUGGACAGCCUUCUGAAAGGAAGAUUAAUACAAGAUGGCAUCAUGAGUCCGCAUGUUCACAUGAUUAAAGGUAUUCCGGUAGACGAUGGGGAUGCGUUCCAUUAGAUAGUAGGCGGGGUAACGGCCCACCUAGUCUUCGAUGGAUAGGGGUUCUGAGAGGAAGGUCCCCCACAUUGGAACUGAGACACGGUCCAAACUCCUACGGGAGGCAGCAGUGAGGAAUAUUGGUCAAUGGGCGAGAGCCUGAACCAGCCAAGUAGCGUGAAGGAUGACUGCCCUAUGGGUUGUAAACUUCUUUUAUAAAGGAAUAAAGUCGGGUAUGGAUACCCGUUUGCAUGUACUUUAUGAAUAAGGAUCGGCUAACUCCGUGCCAGCAGCCGCGGUAAUACGGAGGAUCCGAGCGUUAUCCGGAUUUAUUGGGUUUAAAGGGAGCGUAGAUGGAUGUUUAAGUCAGUUGUGAAAGUUUGCGGCUCAACCGUAAAAUUGCAGUUGAUACUGGAUAUCUUGAGUGCAGUUGAGGCAGGCGGAAUUCGUGGUGUAGCGGUGAAAUGCUUAGAUAUCACGAAGAACUCCGAUUGCGAAGGCAGCCUGCUAAGCUGCAACUGACAUUGAGGCUCGAAAGUGUGGGUAUCAAACAGGAUUAGAUACCCUGGUAGUCCACACGGUAAACGAUGAAUACUCGCUGUUUGCGAUAUACUGCAAGCGGCCAAGCGAAAGCGUUAAGUAUUCCACCUGGGGAGUACGCCGGCAACGGUGAAACUCAAAGGAAUUGACGGGGGCCCGCACAAGCGGAGGAACAUGUGGUUUAAUUCGAUGAUACGCGAGGAACCUUACCCGGGCUUGAAUUGCAACUGAAUGAUGUGGAGACAUGUCAGCCGCAAGGCAGUUGUGAAGGUGCUGCAUGGUUGUCGUCAGCUCGUGCCGUGAGGUGUCGGCUUAAGUGCCAUAACGAGCGCAACCCUUGUUGUCAGUUACUAACAGGUUCCGCUGAGGACUCUGACAAGACUGCCAUCGUAAGAUGUGAGGAAGGUGGGGAUGACGUCAAAUCAGCACGGCCCUUACGUCCGGGGCUACACACGUGUUACAAUGGGGGGUACAGAGGGCCGCUACCACGCGAGUGGAUGCCAAUCCCCAAAACCUCUCUCAGUUCGGACUGGAGUCUGCAACCCGACUCCACGAAGCUGGAUUCGCUAGUAAUCGCGCAUCAGCCACGGCGCGGUGAAUACGUUCCCGGGCCUUGUACACACCGCCCGUCAAGCCAUGGGAGCCGGGGGUACCUGAAGUGCGUAACCGCGAGGAGCGCCCUAGGGUAAAACUGGUGACUGGGGCU